CCUGGUGGCUUAGAUGGUAAAGAAUCUGCCUAUCAUGCAGGAGACCCAGGUUCGGUCCCUGGGUCAGGA
rnacentral:tRNA from 1 species